rnacentral:lncRNA from 1 species
GUCACGAGGACUACUUAUUUGGGUAGAUAUUGGGGAAUGCCAUAGAUUCUGUUCAGUAUCAUGGUUUCUUUUACUUUUUUAUUGGCGUCCGGCGCAUGCAUACAACCAUUCCUUCUUCUCCUCGGAACGUCAGGUCGGUCGUGCCUCCUCUCAUAAAUCUACUAUCUCUAAUUAGUAGAGUGAAAUAGAGUACUCACACAAAGCGAAAGAGCUACACCCGGAAAUGCGAGUCCACUCACUACUCGACUACCGACUUUGAAAUGCGAAACAAUUAUUUCAUUCAGUCAGGCUAAAAUGAACACAAAUAAAAGAAAAGGCAACUCAUCUAUUCAUUCAACGAAAAAAUGUCAGUCAAAGUAAGUCAAUGAAAAAGCCCCUUACUCCAAUCAGUUAGUUAAUCUUAACUAGGAAAUGCAAGUCCAAUCAGUUAGUUAAUCUUAACUAGGAAAUGCAAGUAAGGAGGCAUCUCAUCUAGGAACUGAACCCACUAACUUCUAC